AGCGGACGCUGGCGGCAGGCCUAACACAUGCAAGUCGAACGGACCCUUCGGGGUUAGUGGCGGACGGGUGAGUAACACGUGGGAACGUGCCUUUAGGUUCGGAAUAGCUCCUGGAAACGGGUGGUAAUGCCGAAUGUGCCCUUCGGGGGAAAGAUUUAUCGCCUUUAGAGCGGCCCGCGUCUGAUUAGCUAGUUGGUGAGGUAACGGCUCACCAAGGCGACGAUCAGUAGCUGGUCUGAGAGGAUGACCAGCCACACUGGGACUGAGACACGGCCCAGACUCCUACGGGAGGCAGCAGUGGGGAAUCUUGCGCAAUGGGCGAAAGCCUGACGCAGCCAUGCCGCGUGAAUGAUGAAGGUCUUAGGAUUGUAAAAUUCUUUCACCGGGGACGAUAAUGACGGUACCCGGAGAAGAAGCCCCGGCUAACUUCGUG
rnacentral:rRNA from 1 species